GCGGAUGGCCGGGUGAUCGCGUGGGGGACUUCGGUCCCUCGCGAGGAAAGUCCGGACUCCGGAAAGCGACGGUGCCGGGUAACGCCCGGACGGGGCAACCCGAUGGACAGCGCCACAGAGAACAGACCGCCCUUCAUGUAGGGGUAAGGGUGAAACGGUGGGGUAAGAGCUCACCGCGGGGCUGGCAACAGCGCCGGCAUGGCAAGCCCCACCGGGAGCAAUGCCGAAUAGGGAACCCACGGCUGCUUUCGCCAGGGUUCCGGGUAGGCAGCUAGAGCCUGUCGGCAACGGCAGGCGCAGAGGAAUGAUCACCCCCUGACCUUCGGGUCGGGGACAGAAUCCGGCUUACAGGCCAUCCGCGCAU
rnacentral:RNase_P_RNA from 1 species